AGUGAAACUCUUUCCACACUAUUUGCAUGUAUAUGGCUUCUCUCCAGUGUGAAUGUUCAUCUGAGAUUGAAGGCUGCUUUUCUGUGAGGCACUCUUUCCACGCUGAUGGCAAGUGUAAGGUUUCUCUCCCGAGUGAGUUCUCAUGUGUCUUUGAAGGGCUGCUUUUAGAGUGAAACUCUUUCCACACUGUUGGCAGGUGAAUGGCUUUUCUCCCGAGUGAGUUCUCAUGUGAUUUUGAAGGUGUGGUUUUUGAGUGAAACUCUUUCCACACUGUUGGCAGGUGAAAGAGCUGUUAGAUUUGGUUUUCUGAGCUCUUUUUCGUAUAGAAGCCAUUU